rnacentral:rRNA from 1 species
UACAGAGGUGGCAAGCGUUGUUCGGAAUUACUGGGCGUAAAGGGCGCGUAGGCGGUUCGUACAGUCAGACGUGAAAUUCCUGGGCUCAACCUGGGGGCUGCGUUUGAUACGUGCGGGCUUGAGUUCGGAAGAGGGUCGUGGAAUUCCCAGUGUAGAGGUGAAAUGCGUAGAUAUUGGGAAGAACACCGGUGGCGAAGGCGGCUCACUGGCUCGUUUCUGACGCUCAGGCGCGAUAGGCGUGGGGAUCAAACAGG